GACGAACGCUGGCGGCGUGCUUAACACAUGCAAGUCGAACGGAAAGGCCCUGCUUUUGUGGGGUUCUCGAGUGGCGAACGGGUGAGUAACACGUGAGUAACCUGCCCUUGACUUUGGGAUAACUUCAGGAAACUGGGGCUAAUACCGGAUAGGAUCUCCUGCUGCAUGGUGGGGGUUGGAAAGUUUCGGCGGUUGGGGAUGGACUCGCGGCUUAUCAGCUUGUUGGUGGGGUAGUGGCUUACCAAGGCUUUGACGGGUAGCCGGCCUGAGAGGGUGAACGGCCACAUUGGGACUGAGGUACGGCCCAGAAUCCUACGGGAGGCAGCAGUGGGGAAUAUUGCACAAUGGGCGGAAGCCUGAUGCAGCAACGCCGCGUGCGGGAUGACGGCCUUCGGGUUGUAAACAGCUUUCGCCUGUGACGAAGCGUGAGUGACGGUAAUGGGUAAAAAAGCAACGGCUAACUACGUG
rnacentral:rRNA from 1 species